rnacentral:rRNA from 1 species
GACGAACGCUGGCGGCGUGCUUAACACAUGCAAGUCGAACGGAAAGGCCCAGCUUGCUGGGUACUCGAGUGGCGAACGGGUGAGUAACACGUGGGUGAUCUGCCCUGCACUCUGGGAUAAGCCUGGGAAACUGGGUCUAAUACCGGAUAUGACCGACUGUCGCAUGGUGGUUGGUGGAAAGCUUUUGCGGUGUGGGAUGGGCCCGCGGCCUAUCAGCUUGUUGGUGGGGUAAUGGCCUACCAAGGCGACGACGGGUAGCCGACCUGAGAGGGUGAUCGGCCACACUGGGACUGAGACACGGCCCAGACUCCUACGGGAGGCAGCAGUGGGGAAUAUUGCACAAUGGGCGCAAGCCUGAUGCAGCGACGCCGCGUGAGGGAUGACGGCCUUCGGGUUGUAAACCUCUUUCACCAGGGACGAAGCGUGAGUGACGGUACCUGGAGAAGAAGCACCGGCCAACUACGU